rnacentral:rRNA from 1 species
ACACACAACACUUGCCCCAGGAGUAAAGAUCGAUUCAAAUAAUCAUAGAUUAUAGGUAGUAAUGGAGAUAGAACCUUAAAAAGGAGCUAUAGAAAAGAAGUAUCGUAAGAGAAGGUCCCACAUAGAAAUAAGAAGAGACCAAACCUCGUCCUUUGUGUAUCAUGGCUUAGCAACCUACCCCUUUAGAUUAACCUUCCCGAAGCCCAAUGAGCUACUAAACCCUAGUUUAGAACCCAUCAGUCCUUGUGGAAGAAAGGUUGAGAGAGGUCUUAGUAGAGACAAUAUAUCUGUCGCAUUGGGAAAUAGCUGGUUCCCAGAGAAAUAUAUCGAAGUAUAAGAGGGUUAACACCCCUCUUCCUACCUAGGGGACAACCUCUAGGUAGAACCCACUUUGUAGCAUACAACCUUAAUCAUGAUCUGGGCUUAAAAUCAGCCUUGAUGGUAAAACAAGUUACAUUGUAAUGAGAAACGGAGGUAUAAUUAUACAUCUACAAUUCCAGAGUAUCUGGGGAUUCUGAUCAACACACAUCAGAAGACAUUCUGCUAAGACGAGUAUAGUCACCCCCAAAUAAAAUAAGGAAGUGACUUAACAGAUAAAGGUAAGGAAUUCGGCAAAUAAAAGCUCUGACUGUUUAUCAAAAACAUAGCCUUCGAACUUACGAAAGGUAAAACCUGCCCGGGGUAAGUCUAACGGCUGCGGU